CAAGGAGAGGGUGCACAGCUGCUUAAUGGGGAAAGGUAUAGUAGGAAAGAAUUCACUGCAGUCCUCCUGUGGAUCUCUGCAGCAGAGUUACUUGUCCCUAAGGUUUUCUGGCAGCUGGUGGACCUUGGUGUUUUCACAAUGGCAAAAGGGAGUAAAGAUGACAGCACAGCACUGAUUAUGAAUCCCUUACAUGUGCAUGCAUUUCCUUGUGGUCAUAAAGCCAGGAUGAAAAUUUGCAUGAGAUACAAGGCCAAUGGAGGGACUGGAGCAGACAAAUGCUGUGAUUAAGAUGAAGCAGAAGAUAUGUCAAGCUCCUGUUCUUGCAGAUGGAAGCUGUACGAAGGGUAUAUGGACUCUUUGCCUCAGUGCCAUACUUAUGCAGCACUGGUAUUGGCACUCAAGACUGGUGGAGGAGAUCAAGAAAGCCAGUUGCCAGUGCUUUCCAGCUGCAAAGUCAUGGCAUAGAUCAGUCAUCAAAUAGAUGACACGUGGUUUAAGUUGUAAUAAGAGGCAAAGAUGAGCUGCUACAAGGAUCCAGUGCUUAGCCCUUUCCAUCUCAACUUACAGGAAUUAAAAAUUUUCAAGUGAGAAGUAAGGCCAGUAAAGGGACUGAAGCAAUAAAUUGGUUCU